GACGAACGCUGGCGGCGUGCUUAACACAUGCAAGUCGAACGGGAAGGCCCUUCGGGGUACACGAGUGGCGAACGGGUGAGUAACACGUGGGUGAUCUGCCCUGCACUUCGGGAUAAGCCUGGGAAACUGGGUCUAAUACCGGAUAGGACCACUGCCUGCAUGGGUGGUGGUGGAAAGCUUUUGCGGUGUGGGAUGGGCCCGCGGCCUAUCAGCUUGUUGGUGGGGUGAUGGCCUACCAAGGCGACGACGGGUAGCCGGCCUGAGAGGGUGACCGGCCACACUGGGACUGAGAGACGGCCCAGACUCCGACGGGAGGCAGCAGUGGGGGAUAUUGCACAAUGGGCGCAAGCCUGAUGCAGCGACGCCGCGUGAGGGAUGACGGCCUUCGGGUUGUAAACCUCUUUCAGCACCGACGAAGCGCAAGUGACGGUAGGUGCAGAAGAAGGACCGGCCAACUACGUGCCAGCCGCCGCCGUAA
rnacentral:rRNA from 1 species